AAAAAAAAAAAAAAAAAACUCAGGACUACAGGGAAAAAACAGCUCCUUCGUGUUUCUUGCUGCUCAAUGUCUAUUUUUGGGGUUUUCCAUCAGUGUUCAGCAAAAAUAGGUUGCAGCCGUGUAGCUGGCACCCCCACCCAAAACAGCACCGAAUGGACAAACAUGCUUCAGCAAUCAGACGGAAAGAGAAAUCUUAGUGUAAUAUAAUAUG
rnacentral:ribozyme from 1 species